rnacentral:rRNA from 1 species
GACGAAGGGGGCUAGCGUUGUUCGGAAUUACUGGGCGUAGCGCGUGUAUGCGGUUGUCCAAGUUUGAUGUGAAAGCCUUGAGCUCAACUCAAGAAAUGCAUUCAGGACUGGAUGACUAGAGGACCGGAGAGGAUAGUGGAAUUCCCAGUGUAGUGGUGAAAUACGUAGAGAUUGGGAAGAACACCAGUGGCGAAGGCGGCUAUCUGGACGGUUUCUGACGCUAAGACGCGAAAGCGUGGGGAGCAAACAGG